rnacentral:tmRNA from 1 species
CCCCUUUCAUUUGCUGUCGCAAGAGUUUAUAUCUGCCCGUGCUGGGCAACCAGCUAUGGCAAUAAAUGGUCAGUGCAAUAAACCUAUCGGACCCGGGGGCGGUACCCGGCGCCUCCACCCAAGCGCAGAGCAGCCCAAAUGCAGGUUUCUGCGUUUCGGCGGGGGCGAAACAGGAUCGACGAGGGCGUAAAGACUGUGCUUUUGCUCGGCAUUGUACCACCGUUAUCGGGCUGUUCUAAUAGUUGCAAACGACAACUAUGCUAUGGACAACGCUGUCGCUGCGUAAUGCGGUGCCAGUAGUCCUUUAAAGCCCUGCUGGGUAGCACCAGCAGGCGGGGUCCGGAGGCACCUGGCAACAGAAGCCUCCACU